ACUCCUGCGGGAGGCAGCAGUGGGGAAUAUUGCACAAUGGGCGCAAGCCUGAUGCAGCCAUGCCGCGUGUAUGAAGAAGGCCUUCGGGUUGUAAAGUACUUUCAGCGGGGAGGAAGGCGAUAAGGUUAAUAACCUUGUUGAUUGACGUUACCCGCAGAAGAAGCACCGGCUAACUCCGUGCCAGCAGCCGCGGUAAUACGGAGGGUGCAAGCGUUAAUCGGAAUUACUGGGCGUAAAGCGCACGCAGGCGGUCUGUCAAGUCGGAUGUGAAAUCCCCGGGCUCAACCUGGGAACUGCAUUCGAAACUGGCAGGCUAGAGUCUUGUAGAGGGGGGUAGAAUUCCAGGUGUAGCGGUGAAAUGCGUAGAGAUCUGGAGGAAUACCGGUGGCGAAGGCGGCCCCCUGGACAAAGACUGACGCUCAGGUGCGAAAGCGUGGGGAGCAAACAGGAUUAGAAACCCGAGUAGUCCCA
rnacentral:rRNA from 1 species